rnacentral:misc_RNA from 1 species
CCAAGAAGGCCAUUUACAGAAACAGAUAACUGAGUUUUCUGCUUGGGUUUUGUUUUAGAUUUCCUUUCCCCCUUAACAUUAGACAAUGCUGGCCGACCAAUUUUAUUUGAUCCAUUUCUAGAUAAAACCUCUGUGUUGUGCCCUUUUCCCUCCCUAUCUCUCUCACUCCUCUUUCCUUUUGUACUGCUUGAUACUAGAGACCCCCCAAUUCCUGAGGGGGUACCUAUGGCACCACCAACAUCAUCAAGUAACAAUUCCCUCUUCUUCACCUUGUUUGACCAUGUGUCUUCUUUACCAGCAGAUUGUUCAGAUAAAAGGUUUACAGGUGGGAGCAAAUCAGAUGAAUUAGCAACAUAGCCAUCUCCAUUUUGACUCAACCGAGAAGUUUGAGGACUUGGCUGUGAACCCAUAGAAGCUGAAACUCUAGCUUCCACAGGGCGGCUUGAGGCAUUGGCAUACAGUUUCCCAGAUUCCUCAUCCACAGGAGUACUCAAUAAUCUUCCACCAUGCAGGUAGGAAGACCUAGAAAGAAACAUAUCCCUAAAUAGGGGUUCAUUGAAGCAGCUUUUGCCUGUAUGUUCAAAUUUAUGACAUCGUUCUAAUGUCCUUUUGACAAAAGCUAAGGCAGCUUGCUUAGCCAUUUUGUUAUUGGAACUUUCCCACCAGUGGCACUAGGACCUCGAAAAGCCAUAUACUUUUCAUAAGCCAUUGUAACAAGUUUGUCUUGAGCACGUUGCUCAAAUUCCUUUUCCUGAAGUUCUUUUGUUUCUGAGGCAGAUUUCAACAGUUUAUCUAGCAAACCUUUCUUCUUUGUAACCUGGCCAUGGUACUUGUCCUCUAAGCUCAUGAUCUCCCCAAUCAUUCCUUCAUCCUCCAUCUGCAAAUCAGGCAUUGUUUCUGGAAAAAUUCCAAUACUUUGAACCUCCAGAAGGAGAUUUUCAUUCAUCUGCAUAUCAUCAUACUGAAAUUCUGAACAGGCCAUGCUCGGAAUCAAUGCCUGGUCAGAAAGAAUGCCAUUUACAGAGUGACUGAAGUUUGAAUAUAAGCCUGUGUUUGGGAUGCCCAAUGGAUCUACCUCUGCCUCAUCAUGUUCUGUCUUCCUAGUCACUUUAUAACCAUUAAAUACAGUAUGUCCAGAAAAAUUAAAGUUAACUGCAUGACUCAAGCCAUUUGAUCCCAACUCUCCGUCCAGCUCAAAUCCAGUUUCAUAUGUAUCAAAUUCAAAGUCCCUAUUUCCAUGGGUACAAUCUUCCUCCGGAAUUAUAGCUGCUAAGAGUCUUUGACAAAGGGGAAUGUCUCUUGCUCCUGGCACUAACAGUUCACAAACCCUUGAUUCAGUAGAAAGUCCCACUUCUCCCACAUGUUCAAUCAACCCAUAUCCAUUAAGGACAGUUUUGCAGUUAUUUACAUCAGAUGAAACCCUAAUGGGUGAUGCUGCAGUAGAUUCAAUACUUCCCUGUUUCUUCAAGUGAACAAUGUCUGUGUCAGAUAUAAAACCAAAGAAUGGCUCCAUUUGC